GUUGUAUAGUCAAGUAAUUAAGUGCAUGUGGUGGAUGCCUUGGCAGUCAGAGGCGAUGAAAGACGUGAUAGCCUGCGAAAAGCUCCGGGGAGGCGGCAAAUAUCCUUUGAUCCGGAGAUGUCUGAAUGGGGGAACCCACCUACUUUAAGGUAGGUAUUGCAACAUGAAUACAUAGUGUUGCAAGGCGAACGAGGGGAAGUGAAACAUCUCAGUACCCUUAGGAAAAGAAAUCAAUUGAGAUUCCCUCAGUAGCGGCGAGCGAACGGGGAUCAGCCCCUUAAGUUAUGUGUGUUUUAGUGGAACGCUCUGGGAAGUGCGAACGUAGAGGGUGAUAUUCCCGUACACGAAAGGGCACACAUAAUGAUGACGAGUAGGGCGAGGCACGUGAAACCUUGUCUGAAUAUGGGGGGACCAUCCUCCAAGGCUAAAUACUCCUGACUGACCGAUAGUGAACCAGUACCGUGAGGGAAAGGCGAAAAGAACCCCUGUGAGGGGAGUGAAAUAGAUCCUGAAACCGCAUGCAUACAAGCAGUGGGAGCACCUUCGUGGUGUGACUGCGUACCUUUUGUAUAAUGGGUCAGCGACUUAUAUUCAGUAGCAAGGUUAACCGUAUAGGGGAGCCGUAGAGAAAUCGAGUCUUAAUAGGGCGUUUAGUUGCUGGGUAUAGACCCGAAACCAGGCGAUCUAUCCAUGAGCAGGUUGAAGGUUGGGUAACACUAACUGGAGGACCGAACCCACUGUCGUUGAAAAGCCAGGGGAUGACUUGUGGAUAGGGGUGAAAGGCUAAUCAAGCCUGGUGAUAGCUGGUUCUCCCCGAAAGCUAUUUAGGUAGCGCCUCGGACGAAUACCAUAGGGGGUAGAGCACUGUUUCGGCUAGGGGGUCAUCCCGACUUACCAAACCGAUGCAAACUCCGAAUACCUAUGAGUACUAUCCGGGAGACAGACUGCGGGUGCUAACGUCCGUAGUCAAGAGGAAAACAAUCCAGACCGCCAGCUAAGGCCCCAAAAUCAUAGUUAAGUGGGAAACGAUGUGGGAAGGCAUAGACAGCUAGGAGGUUGGCUUAGAAGCAGCCACCCUUUAAAGAAAGCGUAAUAGCUCACUAGUCGAGUCGGCCUGCGCGGAAGAUGUAACGGGGCUAAAACUAUGUGCCGAAGCUGCGGAU
rnacentral:rRNA from 1 species